UGGUGCCAGCAGCCGCGGUAAUUCCAGCUCCAAUAGCGUAUAUUAAAGUUGUUGCAGUUAAAAAGCUCGUAGUUGAAUUUCGGGAUCAAUAUUUCGGUCAUGCCGUUGGUAUGCACUGUUAUCAUUGAUUUCUCACCUUCUAAAGAACCGUAAUGCCAUUAAUUUGGUGUUACGGGGAAUUAGGACUGUUACCUUGAAAAAAUUAGAGUGUUUAAAGCAGGCUCACGCUUGAAUACAUUAGCAUGGAAUAAUGAAAUAGGACAUCCGAUUCUAUUUUGUUGGUUUCUAGGAUCGAUGUAAUGAUUAAUAGGGAUAGUUGGGGGCAUUAGUAUUCAAUUGUCAGAGGUGAAAUUCUUGGAUUUAUUGAAGACUAACUACUGCGAAAGCAUUUGCCAAGGAUGUUUUCAUUAAUCAAGAACGAAAGUUAGGGGAUCGAAGACGAUCAGAUACCGUCGUAGUCUUAACCAUAAACUAUGCCGACUAGGGA
rnacentral:rRNA from 1 species